AGAGAGAGACAUGCGCGCAUAUCAAUAAGCGGAGGAAAAGAAACUAACAAGGAUUCCCCUAGUAACGGCGAGUGAAGCGGGAAGAGCUCAAAUUUGAAAUCUUAAAGGGUUUCCCUUUACGAAUUGUAGUUUAAAGAAGUGUUUCUGUUGAGGUUUUGGUAAAAGUUCUUUGGAAUAGGACAUCAUAGAGGGUGAGAAUCCCGUAUUUGACCUUUACUUUCAACUUUGUGAUACACUUUCAAAGAGUCGGAUUGUUUGGGAAUGCAGUCCAAAAUGGGUGGUAAAUUUCAGUCUAAAGCUAAAUAUUGGCGAGAGACCGAUAGCGAACAAGUACCGUGAGGGAAAGAUGAAAAGAACUUUGAAAAGAGAGUUAAACAGUACGUGAAAUUGUCAAAAGGGAAGCGUUUGACACCAGUGUUGUUUUUCUGAAAAUCAAUUAAAGAACUGUUUAUGCUAAGUUGUUUAGACUUUAUCAGCUAACUGUUUAGUUUUGAGCUUUUCUUUAAUGCACUUUUCAGUUAACAAGUCAACAUCAAUUUCUUUUGCUGUAAAAAAGCUUGAGGAAGGUGGCUUGAGAUUCGUCUUAAGUGUUUAUAGCCUCUUGCCUAUGCAGUCGGAGAGAUUGAGGUCUGCAGCGUAGGUCCUUCGGGGCUAAAUGCAUUUGUGCUAAGUUAUAGCAUUUUAUAGACAACUUGUUGACUAUGAUUUGUCUUGUAGCUUACUCGCUUAUGUUAUUUUACCUACGCUUAGGAUGUUGACGCAUGAGAUAUACGC
rnacentral:rRNA from 1 species